UACGUAGGGGGCAAGCGUUGUCCGGAAUCAUUGGGCGUAAAGAGCGUGUAGGCGGUCCGUUAAGUCGGCUGUGAAAGUCCAAGGCUCAACCUUGGGAUGCCGGUCGAUACUGCCGGACUGGAGUCCGGAAGAGGCGAGUGGAAUUCCUGGUGUAGCGGUGGAAUGCGCAGAUAUCAGGAGGAACACCGAUGGCGAAGGCAGCUCGCUGGGACGGUACUGACGCUAAGGCGCGAAAGCGUGGGGAGCGAACAGG
rnacentral:rRNA from 1 species